rnacentral:rRNA from 1 species
GGGAACGUGCCUUUCGGUUCGGAAUAAUCCAGGGAAACUUGGACUAAUACCGGAUACGCCCUUCGGGGGAAAGAUUUAUCGCCGAAAGAUCGGCCCGCGUCUGAUUAGCUAGUUGGUGAGGUAAAGGCUCACCAAGGCGACGAUCAGUAGCUGGUCUGAGAGGAUGAUCAGCCACAUUGGGACUGAGACACGGCCCAAACUCCUACGGGAGGCAGCAGUGGGGAAUAUUGGACAAUGGGCGCAAGCCUGAUCCAGCCAUGCCGCGUGAGUGAUGAAGGCCUUAGGGUUGUAAAGCUCUUUUGUCCGGGAAGAUAAUGACUGUACCGGAAGAAUAAGCCCCGGCUAACUUCGUGCCAGCAGCCGCGGUAAUACGAAGGGGGCUAGCGUUGCUCGGAAUCACUGGGCGUAAAGGGCGCGUAGGCGGACUUUUAAGUCGGAGGUGAAAGCCCAGGGCUCAACCCUGGAAUUGCCUUCGAUACUGGGAGUCUUGAGUUCGGAAGAGGUUGGUGGAACUGCGAGU